UUUGGUUAACAGCUAUCCACGUUUUCAAACUCCAUGGGGCCCACACAAAUUGCGUUCCAAACGUAGGAUAAGCAAAAGCAACUUGUUGUUGCUUUUGCCGUGGCUGUUGUUCAGAAAACGCUGCAACCUUUACCAAAAAAUUAAUUAGCCCUAUCUGUCCUUAACAUCACGAUCGUCUCCCCUUGUCCACAUUCACCUCCCUAAGCUCUCCUCCUCCACAAUUGCCCUCUUCUCAAAAAACCAAUGCUCCUCUUCGUGCUUUCAAUGUGGCAAACACAUCCACACACACUCUUCAUCCAUUCUCUCACGCAGACCGUUAUUAGUGUCUGUAGUCGAGUGUAGAUCAAGCCCAUUUGUCAUUGAUCUGCUGCCAUGAUGAACUCCUUUCACAGUUGAAGAAGACACGCACUGAACCAGAACCAAAGAGAGCAUCAAAAUCAUCCUCCUUGAAAGCUCUAGCACAAGCAUCUUACCAAUCUCUGUCUUAGUUGCACAAGAAAAUUUAAGGUCAGUUUCUCUAUUUCGGUUGCACAAUUACUUUAUAUCUCUGAUUAUAUGUGAUUUUGGCUGUGCGUGGUGUGAAACCAUCAAAAUGUUAACAUUUCCUUACACUUUUAUGUAUAGCUAGGCACAAAUACAUGUGCUUUCAUGUUAAAGAUUUUGAUUUUGAUGUGAGUUUUUUAUUUAAAUGGGAGCUAGUUGGUCAUUACCUUCAUUGUCUUUGCUAAAUUUGGUUUAGCAUUAGUAGAAUGAUUCUUUGUUUUUGUUUUAAAUUAGUAAAUUCAAUCAAGAAAAGGUUAAUCAUUAUUGUCAAGAGAAGGUUUGAAAAGAGUAGAGUAUUACUUUAUGUUAGCUAGAAUUGCUGCCAAUUUUUUUUUUUGAUCAACUGGGAUAUGAUAAAAAUUAUAAGAUUUUGUUAACAUAAAUGAUGUGAUUGCGGAGUGUGAAAAAGGGAUGGGCUUUUUUUUCUCAGGAAAGAAAAGAGCAUAGGAUUUUGCAAUAUGUGGAUAUUAGUGUUGUGGAAAUCAAGAGUUUCUUUUACACCGGUUUUUUAGUUUAGAGUGGCAAUUUAAGUUUUCGGGACAAGAUUUUUAUGGUUGUUAUCGUAUAACAUGAAGGGAAGUUUCAAAGUAUUAAGAGGGGAUGAUAAAAGUUAUGGUUUAUAAUGUAUAUAUGAAGGGAGAAGAUUGUGUGGGGAUUUUGUUGUUGCAAGGAAAGGGAGAUGGUGAGUUAAAUCUGUUGGUUUUUUCUUGUGUUUGUACUUUAUAUGCUUGUAAAUAGUCUUCGUUCAGAGGUCUUAUAAUGACAUAUAAGCUUUCUUUUAUAGAAUAUAAACUAAAGGUUUUCUUUGUCUAAACUUCUGCCAACUGUAAUACUCUAUACAUCACAUAUUAAUAUAUUAUCAUUAUCUUCAUUGACAUUAAAAUUGAAGAAAUAUUAGUAAUACUAGGCAAUGCAAACAUUGACUUGUUGAAACAUUAAUGAAAAUAAACCUAGCAAUUAUAAUGUUAAGCUGAUUAUGUUAAGUCUAUGUUCUCAAUUUGCAUUUUGUAUUUUAGGUUGCGAUUUAUUAAUUAAGAUAGAUGGUGCAUUUCAUGUCCUUUACAUCACCUCUAGAAAAUUAACCUGUUAUUUGUUUAUUAGAAAAAAACAUUUUAACUAAGAGCAUGGAUGAUUCUUAAUCACAAGAUAAAGCUUGUUGGACUAGAGAGAUAUUGCAUGUUUUUUGUGACAUAUGUAUUAAACCAAUUGAGCAAGGUAUGCAACCCAACACACAUUUCGACAAAGCUAGGUGGAAAUAUAUUAUGAAUUGCUUUAAGGAUCAAACUGGCCAUGCAUUAACGAAAGCACAAUUAAAGAAUAAAUGGGAUAAAAUUAAAAAAGAUUGGAGAAUAUAGAAAAGGUCGAUUUCUAAAACAGGAGUAGGAUGGAGUGCUAAACUUGGAACAAUUACAGCUAUUGAUGAAUGGUGGCAAGCUAAAAACCAGGUCUGUUUUUUUUAAUAUGUUUAGAGUUGUAACAAACUAUUUGAUUGCGUUUUGAUGCAUUUUUUUAUUCAUUAUCCCUUUAUUAUAGGAGAUACGCAGAGUAAGAAAGUUUUGCAUACUGGCAUUGAUCCAACAUUGUGUUGUAAAUAUGAUAUCAUGUUUACAAACACUGUUGCUACCGGUCAAUAUGUUUAGGCUCUAUCACAGGGUCUGAAUUCUAAUGAAGAUGGUGUCGGUCAAAGACAAACUAAUGUAGUUAAUAAGGACUCUCAUCUUCAAGAAGGUAAUGGAGAUUUUGAGGAGGAUAGUCUACCAAAUUUUGUUACUGAUGUUAAUAAUAUGGUGGCUAGUGUCAAUUUUGCCAACAACACAAGCAAUCCCACUGGUAGUAGUAGGAAGAGAAAAGAUGUGCAACAAAGUUCCCAACAACAUGAGAAAAAAAAAGGGUGCCGAAAGGGGAUCGUAUUUGUUUUCACGAUUAGAUAAAUUAGUUGAUAGUGUGUCUACCGAAAGUGAAUGCACGUCAAGUGUUUUGGAUAAAAAAAGGAUGUAGCAUAAAAGAGGUGAUGAAGGAGUUUCACUCCAUUGAGAAAGUGGUGUUCGUGAGCUCUAUUGUUUUGCAAUUGAGUUUUUUUGGCUAGAAGUAGGAGGAAAACAUGGGCAGUAAUUGGUGAUAUGGACCAAAAAUUUCAGUUGCUGAAAUUAAUGUUCGAUCGAAGGGCAACCUACAGACCUUGAAUUAAAAGUCUAAAAAAAGGUUAGGUGCAUGAGGUGUUGCUGCGAUUGUAGAAUUGCCAAAUGGUUGAUGCAAACGGUUAUGCCUUUAAUAUUUUUUCCUAGGUUUCUUAACUUGUAACGUAUCAUAUGUUGAGCACUUCCUUUGUAUUUAUAGUUGUAGGUUAAUUGGUUAUGUUUGAGAUGUUUUUAACAGCUAUUGUUGUACCUUUUACAAGUUGUAAUUGUAGGUUUCAUGUUGA